GAUGAACGCUGGCGGCGUGCCUAAUACAUGCAAGUCGAGCGAAUGGAUUAAGAGCUUGCUCUUAUGAAGUUAGCGGCGGACGGGUGAGUAACACGUGGGUAACCUGCCCAUAAGACUGGGAUAACUCCGGGAAACCGGGGCUAAUACCGGAUAACAUUUUGAACCGCAUGGUUCGAAAUUGAAAGGCGGCUUCGGCUGUCACUUAUGGAUGGACCCGCGUCGCAUUAGCUAGUUGGUGAGGUAACGGCUCACCAAGGCAACGAUGCGUAGCCGACCUGAGGGGGUGAUCGGCCACACUGGGACUGGGACACGGCCCCGACUCCUACGGGAGGCAGCAGUAGGGAAUCUUCCGCAAUGGCCGAAAGUCUGACGGAGCAACGCCGCGUGAGUGAUGAAGGCUUUCGGGUCGUAAAACUCUGUUGUUAGGGAAGAACAAGUGCUAGUUGAAUAAGCUGGCACCUUGACUGUACCUAACCAGAAAGCCACGGCUAACUACGUGCCAGCCGCCGCGGUAA
rnacentral:rRNA from 1 species